rnacentral:tRNA from 1 species
GCCUGGAUAGCUCAGCCGGUAGAGCAUCAUGACUUUUAAUCUGAGGGUCCAGGGUUCAAGUCCCUGUUCAGGCG